AGAUUGAACGCUGGCGGCAUGCCUAACACAUGCAAGUCGAACGGGAGUAGCAAUACUCUAGUGGCGGACGGGUGAGGAAUACGUAGGAAUUUGCCCUUAAGUGGGGGAUAACCCGGGGAAACCCGGAUUAAUACCGCAUGACCUCGAAAGAGCAAAGUGGGGGGAUCGCAAGACCUCACGCUUUUGGAGAAGCCUACGUCGGAUUAGCUAGUUGGUGAGGUAAUGGCUCACCAAGGCGACGAUCCGUAACUGGUCUGAGAGGAUGAUCAGUCACACCGGAACUGAGAC
rnacentral:rRNA from 1 species